rnacentral:siRNA from 1 species
GCGGCAUAAACGGCGAUGGAGCG